AAAACGGUCCUUUUCAGGACCACAAUAUAAUCAAUAGAGAGUUUAAU
rfam:Lutzomyia longipalpis Contig3176, whole genome shotgun sequence.